rnacentral:rRNA from 1 species
AUUGAACGCUGGCGGCAGGCCUAACACAUGCAAGUCGAACGGUAGCACAGAGAGCUUGCUCUCGGGUGACGAGUGGCGGACGGGUGAGUAAUGUCUGGGAAACUGCCCGAUGGAGGGGGAUAACUACUGGAAACGGUAGCUAAUACCGCAUAACGUCUUCGGACCAAAGUGGGGGACCUUCGGGCCUCACACCAUCGGAUGUGCCCAGAUGGGAUUAGCUAGUAGGUGGGGUAAUGGCUCACCUAGGCGACGAUCCCUAGCUGGUAUGAGAGGAUGACCAGCCAAACGUGAACUGAGACACGGUCCAGACUCCUACGGGAGGCAGCAGUUGGGAAUAUUGCACAAUGGGCGCAAGCCUGAUGCCGCCAUGCCGCGUGUAUGAAGAAGGCCUUCGGGUUGUAAAGUACUUUCAGCGGGGAGGAAGGCGGUGAAGUUAAUAACUUCACCGAUUGACGUUACCCGCAGAAGAAGCACCGGCUAACUCCGUGCCAGCAGCCGCGGUAA